rnacentral:rRNA from 1 species
GGUUAAGCGACUAAGCGUACACGGUGGAUGCCCUGGCAGUCAGAGGCGAUGAAGGACGUGCUAAUCUGCGAUAAGCGUCGGUAAGGUGAUAUGAACCGUUAUAACCGGCGAUUUCCGAAUGGGGAAACCCAGUGUGUUUCGACACACUAUCAUUAACUGAAUCCAUAGGUUAAUGAGGCGAACCGGGGGAACUGAAACAUCUAAGUACCCCGAGGAAAGAAAUCAACCGAGAUUCCCCAGUAGCGGCGAGCGAACGGGGAGCAGCCCAGAGCCUGAAUUAGUGUGUGUGUUAGUGGAAGCGUCUGGAAAGGCGCGCGAUACAGGGUGACAGCCCCGUACACAAAAAUGCACAUGCUGUGAGCUCGAUGAGUAGGGCGGGACACGUGGUAUCCUGUCUGAAUAUGGGGGGACCAUCCUCCAAGGCUAAAUACUCCUGACUGACCGAUAGUGAACCAGUACCGUGAGGGAAAGGCGAAAAGAACCCCGGCGAGGGGAGUGAAAAAGAACCUGAAACCGUGUACGUACAAGCAGUGGGAGCACGCUUAGGCGUGUGACUGCGUACCUUUUGUAUAAUGGGUCAGCGACUUAUAUUCUGUAGCAAGGUUAACCGAAUAGGGGAGCCGAAGGGAAACCGAGUCUUAACUGGGCGUUAAGUUGCAGGGUAUAGACCCGAAACCCGGUGAUCUAGCCAUGGGCAGGUUGAAGGUUGGGUAACACUAACUGGAGGACCGAACCGACUAAUGUUGAAAAAAUUAGCGGAUGACUUGUGGCUGGGGGUGAAAGGCCAAUCAAACCGGGAGAUAGCUGGUUCUCCCCGAAAGCUAUUUAGGUAGCGCCUCGUGAAUUCAUCUCCGGGGGUAGAGCACUGUUUCGGCAAGGGGGUCAUCCCGACUUACCAACCCGAUGCAAACUGCGAAUACCGGAGAAUGUUAUCACGGGAGACACACGGCGGGUGCUAACGUCCGUCGUGAAGAGGGAAACAACCCAGACCGCCAGCUAAGGUCCCAAAGUCAUGGUUAAGUGGGAAACGAUGUGGGAAGGCCCAGACAGCCAGGAUGUUGGCUUAGAAGCAGCCAUCAUUUAAAGAAAGCGUAAUAGCUCACUGGUCGAGUCGGCCUGCGCGGAAGAUGUAACGGGGCUAAACCAUGCACCGAAGCUGCGGCAGCGACACUAUGUGUUGUUGGGUAGGGGAGCGUUCUGUAAGCCUGUGAAGGUGUGCUGUGAGGCAUGCUGGAGGUAUCAGAAGUGCGAAUGCUGACAUAAGUAACGAUAAAGCGGGUGAAAAGCCCGCUCGCCGGAAGACCAAGGGUUCCUGUCCAACGUUAAUCGGGGCAGGGUGAGUCGACCCCUAAGGCGAGGCCGAAAGGCGUAGUCGAUGGGAAACAGGUUAAUAUUCCUGUACUUGGUGUUACUGCGAAGGGGGGACGGAGAAGGCUAUGUUGGCCGGGCGACGGUUGUCCCGGUUUAAGCGUGUAGGCUGGUUUUCCAGGCAAAUCCGGAAAAUCAAGGCUGAGGCGUGAUGACGAGGCACUACGGUGCUGAAGCAACAAAUGCCCUGCUUCCAGGAAAAGCCUCUAAGCAUCAGGUAACAUCAAAUCGUACCCCAAACCGACACAGGUGGUCAGGUAGAGAAUACCAAGGCGCUUGAGAGAACUCGGGUGAAGGAACUAGGCAAAAUGGUGCCGUAACUUCGGGAGAAGGCACGCUGAUAUGUAGGUGAGGUCCCUCGCGGAUGGAGCUGAAAUCAGUCGAAGAUACCAGCUGGCUGCAACUGUUUAUUAAAAACACAGCACUGUGCAAACACGAAAGUGGACGUAUACGGUGUGACGCCUGCCCGGUGCCGGAAGGUUAAUUGAUGGGGUUAGCGCAAGCGAAGCUCUUGAUCGAAGCCCCGGUAAACGGCGGCCGUAACUAUAACGGUCCUAAGGUAGCGAAAUUCCUUGUCGGGUAAGUUCCGACCUGCACGAAUGGCGUAAUGAUGGCCAGGCUGUCUCCACCCGAGACUCAGUGAAAUUGAACUCGCUGUGAAGAUGCAGUGUACCCGCGGCAAGACGGAAAGACCCCGUGAACCUUUACUAUAGCUUGACACUGAACAUUGAGCCUUGAUGUGUAGGAUAGGUGGGAGGCUUAGAAGUGUGGACGCCAGUCUGCAUGGAGCCGACCUUGAAAUACCACCCUUUAAUGUUUGAUGUUCUAACGUUGACCCGUAAUCCGGGUUGCGGACAGUGUCUGGUGGGUAGUUUGACUGGGGCGGUCUCCUCCUAAAGAGUAACGGAGGAGCACGAAGGUUGGCUAAUCCUGGUCGGACAUCAGGAGGUUAGUGCAAUGGCAUAAGCCAGCUUGACUGCGAGCGUGACGGCGCGAGCAGGUGCGAAAGCAGGUCAUAGUGAUCCGGUGGUUCUGAAUGGAAGGGCCAUCGCUCAACGGAUAAAAGGUACUCCGGGGAUAACAGGCUGAUACCGCCCAAGAGUUCAUAUCGACGGCGGUGUUUGGCACCUCGAUGUCGGCUCAUCACAUCCUGGGGCUGAAGUAGGUCCCAAGGGUAUGGCUGUUCGCCAUUUAAAGUGGUACGCGAGCUGGGUUUAGAACGUCGUGAGACAGUUCGGUCCCUAUCUGCCGUGGGCGCUGGAGAACUGAGGGGGCUGCUCCUAGUACGAGAGGACCGGAGUGGACGCAUCACUGGUGUUCGGGUUGUCAUGCCAAUGGCACUGCCCGGUAGCUAAAUGCGGAAGAGAUAAGUGCUGAAAGCAUCUAAGCACGAAACUUGCCCCGAGAUGAGUUCUCCCUGACCCUUUAAGGGUCCUGAAGGAACGUUGAAGACGACGACGUUGAUAGGCCGGGUGUGUAAGCGCAGCGAUGCGUUGAGCUAACCGGUACUAAUGAACCGUGAGGCUUAACCUU